GCCAUCGUGGCGCAAUGGUAGCGCAUCACCUUCCUAACAAACCGAACCGGCGGAAAAGGUGGGGGUUGCGGGUUCGAGCCCCGUCGGUGGUA